rnacentral:rRNA from 1 species
GACGAACGCUGGCGGCGUGCUUAACACAUGCAAGUCGAACGGAAAGGCCCUGCUUUUGUGGGGUGCUCGAGUGGCGAACGGGUGAGUAACACGUGAGUAACCUGCCCUUGACUUUGGGAUAACUUCAGGAAACUGGGGCUAAUACCGGAUAGGAGCUCCUGCUGCAUGGUGGGGGUUGGAAAGUUUCGGCGGUUGGGGAUGGACUCGCGGCUUAUCAGCUUGUUGGUGGGGUAGUGGCUUACCAAGGCUUUGACGGGUAGCCGGCCUGAGAGGGUGACCGGCCACAUUGGGACUGAGAUACGGCCCAGACUCCUACGGGAGGCAGCAGUGGGGAAUAUUGCACAAUGGGCGGAGGCCUGAUGCAGCAACGCCGCGUGCGGGAUGACGGCCUUCGGGUUGUAAACCGCUUUCGCCUGUGACGAAACGUGAGUGACGGUAAUGGGUAAAGAAGCACCGGCUAACUACGUG